rnacentral:piRNA from 1 species
UAGGCUUAGAAAACUUACGUCCCCCUUCCU